rfam:Picea glauca, whole genome shotgun sequence.
ACAUGGUUAGAGAAUAGAGUUAAUUCAUUAGAUCCAAUUAGAACUCCAUAAUUAAGCGCACUGGGGAUAGAGUAGUACUAGUAUGGGUGAACACAUGAGAAGUCCUAGUAUUUUACAUGCC